AGUUUUCUGCAAUAAUCUCCUGAAGAAGGUGAAGCUGGGGAGAUGCAAAAAGGUGGGAGCCAAGCAUAGCAAAACAAAGCUGAAGAAGGAGUCAUAGAUACAGGGCGGCUCAGUAUGCCUGCUCCCUUCUUGGCCAUGCACUACAAAAACAUGGGGCCAGUCCUGAGUUACAGAAACAAAUUCGACAACUGGAGAGUCAUCUGAGCCUAGGAAGAAAGCGUAAGUAACUGUGCUUUUGCUUUUAUUACUCCAACACUCUCUCCAUCCCCAGCUAUUCUCCCUCAGUCCCUCUUUCCUGUUUUUGACCUCCUCUGCCCACUCUUGCCCCUCCUUUGGCUCUGCAGUUAUCCUCUGCAGGCCUCCUGAUUGAGAUCAGAGAACAGGGGUAAGAGGCUAAUGAAGGAUUGGAGAGAAUGGGGCAGGUCUGAGAACACCAAACUGGGACACGAGUUGAUGAAAAUUUGAAGAAAAAAGUUUUUUGAACUGAUUUUCCUCUUAAAAAAAAAAAUGUUCCUAUCACUUCCUCCAUUUUCACCUUCUUUUCUCUUUCUCUGUGCCUCACUCUCUCUUUGCCUCUACUUCCAAAUCCUUGCUUUUCCUUGCUAAUCCCCACAAGUUCUACGACUGGGUAACUCAGCAGAUGCCCUUGAGUCAGCCAAACGAGCUGUGCACUUAUCAGAUGUUGUCCUGAGAUUCUGCAUCACUGUUAGUCACCUCAAUCGAGCUUUGUACUUCGCCUGUGACAAUGUCCUGUGGGCUGGAAAAUCUGGACUAGCUCCCCGUGUGGAUCAGGAGAAGUGGGCCCAGCGUUCAUUCAGGUUUGAUAUCCUUUUAUCCUACAAGACCUUUUGUAUUCCCUGUACUGCCUGCCUUGCCUUUUGUGAAAGAUCUUUCAGGGUCUUCCUAGAAUAUACACGUCUUAAUCACUUGGCAUCCGGUCUUCAUUUAGAUUUUAAACUAUCAGAGGAUAGUGAAUGGAGGCAGAUGGAAGGCAGAUUUUUCCUCCAUGAUGAUGCCUAAGAUACUAUAUUGAUUUCAUUGUGCUUCUGUCUAUUCCACAGAUUAUGUCUUUCAGUGCGUGCUCAUUCAUUCAUUCUAAAAAUAUUUAGGAGGUGCUUCCUAUGGGCUAAGGAAUAAAGCAAAGAGGCAAAUACAUAUGGUUCCCACUCUCUUUAUGCUCCUAGUCUAGUGGGGGGAGCCAUAUUAAGACAAAUACCAAACCCAAUAUUUGUGGAAGUGUACAGAGUGUUAUGAGAUAUAUAACAAGGGGGGCCGAUUUCAAUUGAAAGGCUAAGGAAGAACUCUUUGAGAGAGUAAUGUUUUAGUUUAGACUUGAAGUCUGAGUACAAGUUAGACAAAGCCAACAGUGGCAGAGAAGACCUUCUCAAACAGAAAAUAGCAUAUUCUAAGGCCUUAAACCAGGACAUAUUUUGUGGAAUUAGAGAAAUAGAAAGGAAGCCAGCAUGAUGAACAGUAUCAAGUGAAGGGCGUACGUUUCAGCUGGAGAUGUAUGCAGGGGCCAGAUCAUUCGUGCAAGGCCUCUUAGGCAAGGGUAGGAUUCUUUGGUUUCGUUUUGUUUAAAUUUUAUCCCAAGUACGAUGGGUUCCGAACAGGGAUGUGACAUGAUUCAAAUUGUGUUUAAAGAAGAUCUGUCUUGCUGCAAUGUGGAAGGUGGAUUGCGGUAGGGCAGAAGAGGAGAUGUCCUAAUAUGGCCAAGAGAUGAUGUUGGCUUGGACUAAGGAGCUGGCGGGUAAUGAAGGUGGAGAGAAAUAUGAUUUGGGAUUAAAAUUAUCUGUAUACACAUCAUUUGUAUUUGUUUUUAUUUUUGUUUCCUGUGAUUCUGUUUCUUGUGUUAUAUAAUGUUAGCAUCUUUCCAUCUCCAUUUACGUCUUGCUUUUCUCCUCAUGUUUAUCAGUGAUUUACAGCUAUUACAUGACUUACAGUGUAUGAAGGAUGGGAGUGAAGGCAUGGCUGGACUGUUAUGGAAAAGCAACUCCCUAGAAGAGUUUAUAUGCCAUGUUUAUGCAUUUCAUUCAACAAAUAUUUAUGGAGCUCUUACUAUGUGCCAGGCACUAGUCUAGACAAGGGUACAAGGGUAAAGAUAAAAGGAGUCCCUGCUCCAGUGGAGCUUACAUGGUAAUGGGAGGAGACAAACAUAAAGAGACAAUAAAUAAAAAUAUGAGUAGUUAAGUGCUGUGCAGGAAAUUAAAUUAUGGUCGUGUGGUAGAGAGUAAAAGGCUCGCUACCUUAGAAUGAGGAACUCUCUGAAAAGGUGCCAUUUAAGCUCAGGCCUGAAGAGCAAGAAGCACUAGCCAUGUGAAGAUUUUGGAGGGAGAAUAUUCCGGGUGGAUGGAUGAGGCAGUAUAAGGGUCCUAAAACAGGAACAAGCUUGAUGAGAUCAAAAGAUAGAAAGAAACUAAUAUGGUUGGAGCAUAGUGAUUGAGGGCAAGAAACAUUCAAGAUGUUGUUCAAGAGGCAGGGUCAGACGUUGAGUUCUGAAAGCUUGCCUAAGGUGUCUAGAGUUCAUCUUAAAUGGGGCAGGAAGGAAACCAUGGAAAGUUUUAAGAAGGGGAGUGAUGAAAUUAGAUUGUUGGGGGCAGGGGGCAAGAGUGGCCAUGGAGAGACCAGUUAAAUGAGUAAAGUAGUAGUUCAAGCAAGAGGUGCCGAUGGUUGAGACUGUGCUGGUAGCGUGUAAGGGAGAAAGAUGGGGUUGGAUUCAGGAUGUGUUUUAGAGGUAGGGCAAUUAUAUUGAGCAUAGACCAGUGUUGUCAUAGUGGAUUAAAAAUCAAAAACAGACUGUUCGGUGUUUGUUUUCUAAGUAAUCUCUAUGCCCAACAUAGGGCUGAAACUCACGACCCCAAGAUCAAGAGUUGUAUGCUCUACUGACUGAGCCAGCCAGGUGCCCCAGACAUAGACUGUUCUUAAGGAAUUGAUAAUCUAACACGUUUAGCAAGUUGCUGAACACCUCUGGGCCUCCGUUUUUGUUUUUGUUUUGUUUGUUUUUUUUAACAAAAGGAUGGGAUUUAAAAGAUCUAUAAUGUGUCUGAGUUUCUGAAACAACUGAAGCUCAUUCUCUCAAAACGUUUGCAUUAUUAUAGUUCACGUCAAAUGUGUGUGUGCUAAUGGCUUGCCAAGUGGACAAGUGAGAUUUGAGGUUGAACUUGGAUGGUUUGAUGAUGCUCAUGAUGUUAAGCCAGGAUCUUAAGGUACGCAUAAACGCUGAUUAGUUACAGAAAGCUGGGAAGACAUUCUUAAUAGUGGCUAAUAGCACUUACUGCUGGUGUCCCAAUGUAUAAUCCCUUUGCAUUACGGGGGAAAAAAAUGUUUACGUGUUCUAUUUGUUGGGCUUAGUGGCUACUGUCUGCCCUUACUGACUCUUCUUGCCUGUGUAUCCCAGGUACUAUCUGUUUUCCCUCAUCAUGAACUUGAGCCGUGAUGCCUAUGAGAUUCGCCUACUGAUGGAACAAGAGUCUUCAGCUUGUAGCCGGCGACUGAAGGGGUCUGGAGGAGGAGCCCCAGGAGGAAUUGAAAAUGCAGGAC